AGGACGAACGCUGGCGGCGUGCUUAACACAUGCAAGUCGAACGGUAAGGCCCCUUCGGGGGUACACGAGUGGCGAACGGGUGAGUAACACGUGGGUAAUCUGCCCUGCACUUCGGGAUAAGCCUGGGAAACUGGGUCUAAUACCGGAUAUGAGCUCCUGCCGCAUGGUGGGGGUUGGAAAGUUUUUCGGUGCAGGAUGAGUCCGCGGCCUAUCAGCUUGUUGGUGGGGUAAUGGCCUACCAAGGCGACGACGGGUAGCCGGCCUGAGAGGGUGAUCGGCCACACUGGGACUGAGACACGGCCCAGACUCCUACGGGAGGCAGCAGUGGGGAAUAUUGCACAAUGGGCGAAAGCCUGAUGCAGCGACGCCGCGUGGGGGAUGACGGUCUUCGGAUUGUAAACCCCUUUCAGUAGGGACGAAGCGAGAGUGACGGUACCUGCAGAAGAAGCGACCGGCUAACUACGUGCCAGCAGCCGCGGU
rnacentral:rRNA from 1 species